GACAGAGGGUGCAAACGUUGUUCGGAAUUACUGGGCGUAAAGCGUGCGCAGGCGGUUGUGCAAGACCGAUGUGAAAUCCCCGGGCUUAACCUGGGAAUGGCAUUGGUGACUGCACGGCUAGAGUGUGUCAGAGGGGGGUAGAAUUCCACGUGUAGCAGUGAAAUGCGUAGAGAUGUGGAGGAAUACCGAUGGCGAAGGCAGCCCCCUGGGACAACACUGACGCUCAUGCACGAAAGCGUGGGGAGCAAACAGG
rnacentral:rRNA from 1 species